CUUAAGCUUCGCGCAUUAGCAUUUAUUCGUCUUCUCUCCGUGUAGUAAAAGAUUGUUCAAAGAAUUUAAACCUUCGCAGCUAAACAUAACGAAAUUCCUCAACUGAUUCUCUCUCUCUCUCUCCCUCUCCCUCUCCUAUCGUUGUUCGUUCGGAGAAUUCAUGACCUGUGAUCUCGUUGACUCGCCGAUUUGACUACGGCAUGGCCGUCCGGUUCAAAUUCAGAAGCUCAUUGAAUUUCGAUACGGUUGACAUCGAAGGCAGGUCCUCCAUAUCCGUUCGUGAUCUCAAAUCCAAGAUCAUCCGCCAAAAGAACCUUAACAUCUGUCAAGACUUCGAUCUCGUAUUCUCUGACUCCCUAACCGGUCAAGAGUAUGUUGACGGGAGCUUCCAAAUUCCAAAUGGGGCUAGUGUGAUAAUCAAAAGAGUGCCGGCAGGGUCAGGGCACGGGAAUAUUGAUACUCCUCACAUUAGUGCUUACGAGAAUCUUGCGGUCAAGGACACCGUGAAGACCAAUCCAUCUGGUGCACCGAAUACUGGUAUCCUUGACUUUGAUGACUUUGGGGUUGAUUUGUAUCCUUAUCCUGGGGCAACAUUAUCUAGUUCUAAUCUUGAUGAUGACAAGAAAACUCACAUUUUGUAUGAUACUCCAAAUAUUGGAGUUGCAAGAUAUUCUAAGCAACCUGUGGAUGGAUGUCAGAAAAUUGAGGCAAGCAACCUUUCUGAGGCUAGUCCUAGAGGUCGUGAUGAGGAACUUAAAUCUAUUUCGUUGCACAGAAAAUUAACUAUGGAUGUUCAGGAGGACAUUCCACUAGAGAAGGUGGACAGUGCUAAUCCAGCUAUGCGAAGUGGGGAUUUGCCAUCAGAGCUAAAAUGUUUGCUUUGCAAGUCAUUUUUUAAGGCAGCCGUGAUGAUACCUUGCUGCCAGCAUAGUUUUUGCGAGAAAUGCAUUUGUGAAGUGCUGCAUGAGAAGGGAAAGUGUCCCAAGUGCUUUUCUACCAAAUGCAGAGUAGAAGAUUUAUUACCAAAUGUUUCUCUUAGACAAGCAAUUGUGCAUUUCCUUGAAUCUCAAAUCUUGACUACUGGUUUUGGCAAUGAUUAUCAGCGUUAUGCUCCAGAUGGAGAAUCUGGAAUUCAAGCAGAAGAUGUUUCAUGUGGUGUGUCUAUUCUCCAAAAACAGCCAGAGUUGCCUCAUUCUCCCUCUGGAACUGGGAAGGGAUCAAAUAAUAUAAUGACAGAUUCAGCUUACAGCUCACCGUUUAAAACAAAACCAUCCAAUCUAGUGGGUGCAAAUAAUUUGCUGAAACUACCUGCUUUUUCUCCCAAGAAAAAGCAAAUAGAUAAAAGUGGAUGUGAGAAUGCGAUGGCUUUGGAUGAGUUCCAAGGGGAAAGCCAGCCCAUGCAUGAGGAAGCUGAAUCUACAAUAAAGAAAAAGGAUCCAGUAGGCUUUAAUACAGCAGGUGGAAUAAAUGGUAUAGUGAAGACUGGAAGAAACAAAAAGGGUCCCCAAACCUGCUUCAUGUGUGGUUCUCCAGACCAUUUCAUUAGAGAAUGCCCAGUUGCAUUAAGCCCACAUUCUAUGCUUCAAGCAGGAAAUGCUAUUUUUCCAGGUGCUAUGCCAGGUUAUAUGCCUUAUUGGAACAGGCCCCCUAUGCCUCAUUUCAGGCCCUUUUGUAACCUUUAUGGCGAUCCUGGAAUGAUGCCUUUUAAUGCAACUAUGGUUCCAGCUUCUCCUUUCCCUGUUCCAAACUAUCACUCAUCUAUGUAUGGCCCUAUUCAAGCCUUUGGCAGAUACAUGAGGAUGGGACCCAUUGCACCUCAACAAGCUGGUGAAGAUCACUGUCUAAGUCAUUCAGAAUUUUUGGAUGUUCAAGAUCAGAUAAAGAGACAAAAGCUUUCAAAUGAGGAUGUGAGGAGGGAACAAUAUAGUGAUGUGGAUAAUGAGAGAGUUUUUGGAAAGAAGCAUUCCUAUAGUGAGAAAGGAAGAUCACAUGAUCAUAAAUCUGUUAUGAGCAGGGAAAAGAAUGUAAGCUACUCUGAUUGCAGCUCCAGCCAGAGGAAACAUAGUCAUCACAGUCAUAAACAUUAUGACAUUGAUGGCGAUGAUGAAUGUCACCAGAAGGCUCAUCAUUCUUCAAUUGGCAGUGGUGACAAGAGGUUAAAUAAUCAAACAGAGAGAUUAAGUUCAGAAGAUGAUGAUAUGCCUUGCAGCACCAGUUGGCAGAGUGAAAAGAGGCAGAAGCACCAUCACAAGAGCUCCGAUAAGGUUAAUAAAAAGAGUGUGCAGUAUGGCGGUGAUUCAAGUCAGGAUCGGUAUCAGACCAAAAAUAAAAAUCAUAGUAAGAGGAGUGUAAUCGAGUGUGACAUGAAAAGACACCAUAGAAAACAUCAUAGCCGUUCAGAGUUGCAAUUGGACCAAAGUUCUUCCAUCAAUCACAGGCAGCGAAAGAAAGAUGCUGGUCCCAUUUCAAGACAUUCCCAACAUGAUUUGAAGUCUAAUAAUGAUGAGCCGAGUCAUGAGAGGUGGCAGAUGAUUAGUGGGUCAGAUGAGGAUGGUACAAAAGAAUGUCGGUAUUAUAAGCGGAAAAGAGGGCACUAACAUAUGCUAGGAGCCUGAUCCUGAGGUAACAAGUGUAAAUGAAAGCCACAUUUCUCUAUUUUGCUGAUUCAGCUGGUUCUCAUACAUCUUAUAUAGAUCUAGUUGGACUGGUCGGCUUUUGGACAUUAGAUAUUUGUUAAUAUCUGCUAACUACCCUUCACUUUUUUAUCAUGAGGUCUCAAGGGUAGCCAAAUGAAAGUUUUAACCAGAGCCGGAAUGCUAAUAUAAUUAUAGGGUUUGGAUAUUAUAUGCCAUGCCUAAAUUUCAUUCUGCUGAGAUUCUUGAAGCUGGUGAAGGUAUGAAUUCUUUUCUUGAGAAAGAGGGAGUGAGAAAGGAGGUGAAAGGACGAGAGUAGUAAUAGGACAAAAAAAAUUAUCACCGUCUCAUUCUCUUAGUUACUUGUACAUUCUUCUCUCAGGGUAAGGUUCAAUAGUUUGCCCGUGCAUGUUCAUAGCUUUUUUGGUCAAGUAUAGAAGAUAAGAGUACUAAAUGAAAAAGUGACGUCUAGAGUUUUUUAGAUGGUUUUGAAGAAAUGAGUUGAUUUAUUUUCCAGAGAAGCCUGUUUUAGGUAAUUUCUUGCACUUACUUGAUGUUGAUAGAGCGCUUCGUCAAUAUUAUGCCGUCCAAUUUCUAGGUACGGUUUUGGUGGUUGUAGUUCAUGCUUUUGUUAUGGAAGUAUUUUUGUAGGGUUCUAGGUGUAUUUGAUUUAUUUGCUGCUAGGCACCUGAUUAUGGUUCCAGGCUGUGGUAGUAUUUACCACUUAUUUUUGGUAUUGGUAAGAAUAUGUUUUUAGAUUAUAUAUAUAUAUAUAUAUAUAUGUAUAUAUAUCUUUAGAAUUUUAGAUCGAGUAACAUUUUAGAUAAAUAAAUAUAAUUAAGAUUUUCGAAGGGUUCAUCCGUUGCUGUGAAGUACCAGAUUCACAUCUUGGAUUUCCCAAGUUUAAAGUCUACCAGUGCACUAUUUCCGGGAAAGAAAAAUAAAAAAGUAGACCAGUGCACUAAUUAAGUUUGCAUAUGGAAUAUUAGAACUUUCAAUACCCUCAGCUUGCAUAUUUAUAUAUAUAUAUAUAUAUAUAUGUAUA